AGAGUUUGAUCCUGGCUCAGAACGAACGCUGGCGGCAGGCUUAACACAUGCAAGUUGAACGGGAUUUGUGUGGUGCUUGCACCAUAUAAUGAGAGUAGCGCACUGGUGAGUAACACGUGGGAACGUGCCUUUUAGUGGGGGAUAACAUCUGGAAACGGAUGCUAAUACCGCAUACGCCCUGAGGGGGAAAGAUUUAUUGCUAAGAGGUCGGCCCGCGGUAGAUUAGGCAGUUGGUGGGGUAAAGGCCUACCAAACCUACGAUCUAUAGCUGGUCUGAGAGGACGAUCAGCCACAUUGGAACUGAGACACGGUCCAGACUCCUACGGGAGGCAGCAGUGAGGAAUAUUGGGCAAUGGAGGCAACUCUGACCCAGCCAUGCCGCGUGAGUGAGAAGGUUUUCGAAUUGUAAAGCUCUUUCGGGUGUGAAGAUGAUGACGGUAACACCAGAAGAAGCCCCGGCAAACUUCGUGCCAGCAGCCGCGGUAAUACGUAGGGGGCGAGCGUUGUUCGGAAUUACUGGGCGUAAAGGGUGUGUAGGCGGUUAAGUAAGAUAGUGGUGAAAUGCCGGGGCUCAACCUCGGAAUUGCCAUUAUGACUAUUUAGCUAGAAUGAUGCAGAGGAUAGCGGAAUACCCAGUGUAGAGGUGAAAUUCGUAGAUAUUGGGUAGAACACCAGAGGCGAAGGCGGCUAUCUGGGCAUUGAUUGACGCUGAGGCACGAAAGCAUGGGGAUCAAACAGGAUUAGAUACCCUGGUAGUCCAUGCUGUAAACGAUGAAUGCUAGUUGUUGGAGGAAUUCAGUGACGCAGUUAACACAAUAAGCAUUCCGCCUGGGGAGUACGGUCGCAAGAUUAAAACUCAAAGGAAUUGACGGGGACCCGCACAAGCGGUGGAGCAUGUGGUUUAAUU
rnacentral:rRNA from 1 species